rfam:Acanthisitta chloris contig37643, whole genome shotgun sequence.
GGCUUGUUGAUCUAGGGGUAUGAUUCUUGCUUUGUGUGUGAGAGGUCCCAGGUUCAACUCCCAGACGAGCCU